rnacentral:misc_RNA from 1 species
GAUGAAGAACGCAGCGAAAUGCGAUAAGUAAUGUGAAUUGCAGAAUUCAGUGAAUCAUCGAAUCUUUGAACGCACAUUGCGCCCCUUGGUAUUCCGAGGGGCAUGCCUGUUCGAGCGUCAUUAUAACCCCUCAAGCUCAGCUUGGUGUUGGGGCCUGCUGCACUGGCAGCCCUUAAAAUCAGUGGCGGCGCCAUCUGGCUCUAAGCGUAGUAAUUCUUCUCGCUAUGGAGUCCUGGUGGAUGCUUGCCAUCAACCCCCAAUUUUUCUAUGGUUGACCUCGGGUCAGGUAGGGAUACCCGCUGAACUUAAGCAUAUCAAUAAGCGGAGGA